AUUGAACGCUGGCGGCAGGCCUAACACAUGCAAGUCGAGCGGAUGAAGGGAGCUUGCUCCUGGAUUCAGCGGCGGACGGGGGAGUAAUGCCUAGGAAUCUGCCUGGGAGUGGGGGAUAACGUCCGGAAACGGGCGCUAAUACCGCAUACGACCAGAGGGAGAAAGUGGGGGAUCUUCGGACCUCACGCUAUCAGAUGAGCCUAGGUCGGAUUAGCUAGUUUGUGGGGUAAAGGCCUACCAAGGCGACGAUCCGUAACUGGUCUGAGAGGAUGAUCAGUCACACUGGAACUGAGACACGGUCCAGACUCCUACGGGAGGCAGCAGUGGGGAAUAUUGGACAAUGGGCGAAAGCCUGAUCCAGCCCUGCCGCGUGUGUGAAGAAGCUCUUCGGAUUGUAAAGCACUUUAAGUUGGGAGGAAGGGCAGUAAGUUAAUCCCUUGCUGUUUUGACGUUACCGACAGAAUAAGCACCGGCUAACUUCGUG
rnacentral:rRNA from 1 species